rnacentral:lncRNA from 12 species
ACCAGCACAGGAGAACCUCAGGGCAUCAGCCAGCUCAGCCAUGUCCUGCAGAAAAGAGCCUGGAACCAGCACCUUCCUGCACCCCCAAACUGCAGCACAGAUCUGUCUGUGCCCAGAACCACAAGUGGCGACCAAGAGAACGGAGUCUGGGCGGGACAGGAGCCACCACAACCCGUGCCAGGGGACAGACAGCGACCCGAGCCCACUGCUGGAGGAUUUUAAGGAUGUGACCAGCAAAUAAAACCAAUGGGACAUGCGGCACCUUCGGCCACCAGUGGCCCAGAGGUCUCCCAAAGCUCAAAAGUGCCCUCGUCUGGCUGAUUCCGACAGACUCCUCCGUGAUUGCUUUUUACACUUUUCUUGGGAAGAAAGGAUUAAAAAUCAGCUGCAGAGCAAUCACUGAAAACCCAAUUCUUCUCCUGGAAGAAGUUUUUUCCAAACGGUUCGAGGCGGGCUGGCUGCACCAUGGGUGCCAUCCCAGCCCAUGGGAGGGAAGCAGCUCAGACUUGCAGGGAAUGGAUCCUCAGCCAGGGAUUGUGGUUCAGGUCAGGUUGUGGUUCUGAAACCUCGUGUUUUAUGGCUCUCCACGUAGGUCUUGGAGAGGGAAAAAAAAAAAAA